GGUCAAGUUGUUAAGGGCACAU
rnacentral:rRNA from 1 species